rnacentral:rRNA from 1 species
GUUUGAUCCUGGCUCAGGACGAACGCUGGCGGCGUGCCUAAUACAUGCAAGUCGAGCGAAUCUUGAGGAGCUUGCUCCUUAAGGUUAGCGGCGGACGGGUGAGUAACACGUGGGCAACCUGCCUGUAAGACUGGGAUAACACCGGGAAACCGGUGCUAAUACCGGAUAAUUCUUCACCUCUCAUGAGGUGAAGCUGAAAGUCGGUUUCGGCUGACACUUACAGAUGGGCCCGCGGCGCAUUAGCUAGUUGGUGAGGUAACGGCUCACCAAGGCGACGAUGCGUAGCCGACCUGAGAGGGUGAUCGGCCACACUGGGACUGAGACACGGCCCAGACUCCUACGGGAGGCAGCAGUAGGGAAUCUUCCGCAAUGGACGAAAGUCUGACGGAGCAACGCCGCGUGAGUGAUGAAGGCCUUCGGGUCGUAAAACUCUGUUGUUAGGGAAGAACAAGUGCCGGAGUAACUGCCGGCACCUUGACGGUACCUAACCAGAAAGCCACGGCUAACUACGUGCCAGCAGCCGCGGUAAUACGUAGGUGGCAAGCGUUGUCCGGAAUUAUUGGGCGUAAAGCGCGCGCAGGCGGUCCUUUAAGUCUGAUGUG